rnacentral:rRNA from 1 species
GUCUACAGCCUUGGCACCCUGAAAAAGCUCGAUCCUGUCUGAUCUCAGAAGCUAAACAGGGUUGGGUCUGGUUAGUACUUGGAUGGGAGACCACCUAGGAAGACCAGAUAGUGUAGGCG